rnacentral:rRNA from 1 species
AACGAACGCUAGCGGCGUGCCUAACACAUGCAAGUCGAACGAGAAAUCCUGAGCAAUCGGGAGAGUAAAGUGGCGCACGGGUGAGUAACGCGUGGGUAAUCUGCCCUGGAGCUAGGAAUAACACUUCGAAAGGAGUGCUAAUACCUAAUAAGAUCCUGAAAACUCCGGUUUUUGGGAUAAAAGAUGGCUGAGGCUUGCAAGCUAUUGCUCCUGGAUGAGCCCGCGUACCAUUAGCUAGUUGGUGGGGUAAUGGCCCACCAAGGCAACGAUGGUUAGCUGGUCUGAGAGGAUGGCCAGCCACACUGGAACUGAGACACGGUCCAGACUCCUACGGGAGGCAG